rnacentral:rRNA from 1 species
AACGAACGCUGGCGGCGCGCCUAACACAUGCAAGUCGAACGAGAAUCCGGGGCAACCCGGUAGUAAAGUGGCAAACGGGUGAGGAAUACAUGGGUAACCUACCCUUGAGAAGGGAAUAACCCGCCGAAAGGUGAGCUAAUACCCUAUACGCUAUCUUUUUUCGAAAAGGAUAGGAAAGCCGGGUCGAGGACCUGGUACUCAAGGAGGGGCUCAUGUCCUAUCAGCUUGUUGGUGGGGUAACGGCCUACCAAGGCUACGACGGGUAGCUGGUCUGAGAGGAUGAUCAGCCACACUGGCACUGAGAUACGGGCCAGACUCCUACGGGAGGCAGCAGUGAGGAAUAUUGCGCAAUGGGCGAAAGCCUGACGCAGCGACGCCGCGUGGGGGAUGAAGGUUUUCGGAUUGUAAACCCCUUUCAUGAGGAAAGAUAAAGUGGGUAACCACUUAGACGGUACCUCAAGAAGAAGCCACGGCUAACUUCGUGCCAGCAGCCGCGGUAAUGUCAGUGAC